AGUGAACGCUGGCGGUAGGCCUAACACAUGCAAGUCGAACGGCAGCACAGUAAGAGCUUGCUUUUAUGGGUGGCGACUGGCGGACGGGUGAGGAAUAAAUCGCAAUCUACUUUUUCGUGGGGGACAACGUAGGGCAACUGACGCUAAUACCUCAUACUACCUACGGCUGAAAGCAGGGACUCUUCGGACCUUUCGCGAUCGAAUGAGCCGAUGUCGGAUUAGCUAGUUGGCGGGGUAAAGGCCCACCAAGCCAACGAUCCGUAGCUGGUCUGAGAGGAGGAUCAGCCACACGGGAACUGGGAAACGGUCCAGACUCCAACGGGAGGCAGCAGUGGGGAAUAUUGGACAAAGGGCGCAAGCCUGAUCCAGCCAUACCGCGUGGGUGAAGAAGGCCUUCGGGUUGUAAAGCCCUUUUGUUGGGAAAGAAAAGCGGCAGGCUAAUACCCCGCUGUGCUGACGGUACCCAAACAAUAAGCACCGGCUAACUUCGUG
rnacentral:rRNA from 1 species